UACGUAGGGUGCGAGCGUUGUCCGGAAUUAUUGGGCGUAAAGAGCUCGUAGGCGGUGUGUCACGUCGGCCGUGAAAACUUGCAGCUUAACUGUGGGCGUGCGGUCGAUACGGGCAUCACUGGAGUUCGGCAGGGGAGACUGGAAUUCCUGGUGUAGCGGUGAAAUGCGCAGAUAUCAGGAAGAACACCCGUGGCGAAGGCGGCUCUCUGGGACGGUACUGACGCUGAGACGCGAAAGCGUGGGGAGCGAACAGG
rnacentral:rRNA from 1 species